GACGAACGCUGGCGGCGUGCUUAACACAUGCAAGUGGAGCGACGAACCAGGCUUCGGCCUGGGGGCAGAGCCGCGAACGGGUGAGUAACACGUGGGUAACCUGCCCUGAUGAUCGGGACAACCCGGGGAAACCCGGGCUAAUACCGAAUGUGCCCUCCGUCCUCAAGGACGGCGGGGAAAGGAAGCUUCGGCCUCCGCAUCGGGAUGGGCCCGCGGCCCAUUAGCUUGUUGGUGAGGUAAAGGCUCACCAAGGCAACGAUGGGUAGCUGGUCUGAGAGGACGAUCAGCCACACUGGGACUGAGACACGGCCCAGACUCCUACGGGAGGCAGCAGUGGGGAAUCUUGCGCAAUGCGCGAAAGCGUGACGCAGCAACGCCGCGUGGGGAAGACGGCC
rnacentral:rRNA from 1 species